rnacentral:tRNA from 1 species
GGAGAGAUGGCUGAGCGGCUGAAGGCGCACGCCUGGAAAGCGUGUGUAGGAUAAUAUUCUACCGGGGGUUCGAAUCCCCCUCUCUCCGCCA